rnacentral:rRNA from 1 species
GACGAACGCUGGCGGCGUGCCUAAUACAUGCAAGUAGAACGCUGAAGGAGGAGCUUGCUCUUCUGGAUGAGUUGCGAACGGGUGAGUGACGCGUAGGUAACCUGCCUGGUAGCGGGGGAUAACUAUUGGAAACGAUAGCUAAUACCGCAUAAGAGUAGAUGUUGCAUGACAUUUACUUAAAAGGUGCAAUUGCAUCACUACCAGAUGGACCUGCGUUGUAUUAGCUAGUUGGUGGGGUAACGGCUUACCAAGGCGACGAUACAUAGCCGACCUGAGAGGGUGAUCGGCCACACUGGGACUGAGACACGGCCCAGACUCCUACGGGAGGCAGCAGUAGGGAAUCUUCGGCAAUGGACGGAAGUCUGACCGAGCAGCGCCGCGUGAGUGAAGAAGGUUUUCGGAUCGUAAAGCUCUGUUGUAAGAGAAGAACGAGUGUGAGAGUGGAAAGUUCACACUGUGACGGUAUCUUACCAGAAAGGGACGGCUAACUACGUG